UUGGUUGCGCUCAAGAAGGCAUUGGCCGC
rnacentral:piRNA from 1 species